GACGAACGCUGGCGGCGUGCUUAACACAUGCAGGUCGAACGAUGAAGCUGGAGCUUGCUCCGGCGGAUUAGUGGCGAACGGGUGAGUAACACGUGAGUAACCUGCCCUUGACUCAGGGAUAACUGCUAGAAAUGGUAGCUAAUACCGGAUACGACCCUCGGUGGCAUCACCAGGGGGUGGAAAGAAUUUCGGUCAAGGAUGGACUCGCGGCCUAUCAGCUAGUUGGUGAGGUAACGGCUCACCAAGGCGACGACGGGUAGCCGGCCUGAGAGGGUGACCGGCCGCACUGGGACUGAGACACGGCCCAGACUCCUACGGGAGGCAGCAGUGGGGAAUAUUGCACAAUGGGCGCAAGCCUGAUGCAGCAACGCCGCGUGAGGGAUGACGGCCUUCGGGUUGUAAACCUCUUUUAGUAGGGAAGAAGCGAAAGUGACGGUACCUGCAGAAAAAGCACCGGCUAACUACGUGCCAGCCGCCGCCGUAA
rnacentral:rRNA from 1 species